rnacentral:rRNA from 1 species
GAUGAACGCUGGCGGCGUGCCUAAUACAUGCAAGUCGAGCGAACGGACGAGAAGCUUGCUUCUCUGAUGUUAGCGGCGGACGGGUGAGUAACACGUGGAUAACCUACCUAUAAGACUGGGAUAACUUCGGGAAACCGUAGCUAAUCCCGGAUAAUAUUUUGAACCGCAUGGUUCAAAAGUGAAAGACGGUCUUGCUGUCACUUAUAGAUGGAUCCGCGCUGCAUUAGCUAGUUGGUAAGGUAACGGCUUACCAAGGCAACGAUGCAUAGCCGACCUGAGAGGGUGAUCGGCCACACUAGAACUGAGACACGGUCCAGACUCCUACGGGAGGCAGCAGUAGGGAAUCUUCCGCAAUGGGCGAAAGCCUGACGGAGCAACGCCGCGUGAGUGAUGAAGGUCUUCGGAUCGUAAAACUCUGUUGUUAGGGAAGAACAUAUGUGUAAGUAACUGUGCACAGCUUGACGGUACCGAAUCAGAAAGCCACGGCUAACUACGUG